rnacentral:rRNA from 1 species
GCUAGUAAUCGCGGAUCAGCAUGCCGCGGUGAAUACGUUCCCGGGCCUUGUACACACCGCCCGUCACACCAUGAGAGUCGAUAACACCCGAAGCCUGUAGUCUAACCAUAUGGGGGACGCAGUCGAAGGUGGGAUUGAUAAUUAGGGUGAAGUCGUAACAAGGUAUC